GACGAACGCUGGCGGCGUGCUUAACACAUGCAAGUCGAACGGGCCCGCUCUCUUUUUUGGGGGUGGGUUGAGUGGCGAACGGGUGAGUAUCACGUGAGUAACCUGCCCCCUGCUCCUGGAUAACUGCUUGAAAGGGCGGCUAAUACGGGGUGUGCCGGCUGGUCCGCAUGGGCCUGGUCGGGAUAGUUUCAUCUUCGGGUGUUUCGGUGGGGGAUGGGCUCGCGGCCUAUCAGCUUGUUGGUGGGGUGAUGGCCCACCAAGGCGGUGGCGGGUAGCCGGCCUGAGAGGGUGGGCGGCCACACUGGGACUGAGACACGGCCCAGACGCCUGCGGGAGGCAGCAGUGGGGGGUAUUGCACAAUGGGCGGAAGCCUGAUGCAGCGACGGCGCGUGAGGGAUGGAGGCCGUCGGGUUGUGAACCUCUUUCUCCGGUGGUGAAGGCCCUGUCCGUUGCGGCGGGGUUGACGGUAGCCGGGUAUGAAGCGCCGGCUAACUACGUG
rnacentral:rRNA from 1 species